rnacentral:rRNA from 1 species
AUUGAACGCUGGCGGCAGGCCUAACACAUGCAAGUCGAGCGAGCGGCGGACGGGUGAGUAAUGUAUGGGGACUGCCCGAUAGAGGGGGAUAACUACUGGAAACGGUGGCUAAUACCGCAUACUAUCGGAUAACCCAUAUGGGAUUAGCUAGUAGGUGGGGUAAAGGCUCACCUAGGCGACGAUCUCUAGCUGGUCUGAGAGGAUGAUCAGAAACACUGGAAGUGACAAACGGUCCAGACGCCGUCGUAGGCAUGAUUGGGGUAUAAUGGACAAUGGGGGCAAGGCUGAUGUAGCCAGGCCGCGUGUAUGAAGAAGGCCUUAGGUUUGUAAAGUGCUGUCAGAGUGGAGGCGUUGACCGCAGAGGAAGCACCGGUGAACUCCGUGCUAGCCGCCGCGGUAAUAA